ACAGUAGAUAGACAACCGAAACCGAUCAUGUAACACGUAAUUCGGUACAUUGUAUCAUUACUCUCGUCAAGGCUUCAUUCGAGUUGUAGCAACCCAUUUGUUGGUGACGGUCAAGAUCUAAAUCUGUGCAAUGAAUUGCAUCUUUGCUAAGCGUAUUUUGCGAACAAACAUGAGAUAAGACAGUAGUGAAAGAGAAGCGGAGUGAGCGAAGACGAAAUAAUGCUCAGAUCUUUGAUAACAUUUGGUUUGGGCGUGUACACCGGUUUGUACAUAAGUCAAAAUUACGAGGUAAUGCCUUAAAGGAAAGGAGAGGGGGAGAAGACUGAAUUGCAGAGCAAACAUUUCUUGCCAACAGAAAGUUCACCUGCAGCCCAGGUCCUCCAAACACUUAGGAGAUUAUAUACAUAGAUGUAUUAACAGUUAUCUUUUAGUUGUGUGUUUUAAUAUUAUAUACAAAUUAAGGAUAAAUAUACACAGAAUUUUUACACUUU